rnacentral:rRNA from 1 species
CCUACGAGAGGCAGCAGUGGGGAAUAUUGCACAAUGGAGGAAACUCUGAUGCAGCGACGCCGCGUGAGUGAAGAAGUAUUUCGUUAUGUAAAGCUCUAUCAGCAGGGAAGAAAGAGACGGUUCCCGAACUAAAAGCCCCCGGCUAACUACGUGCAGGCAGCGCCGGUAAUACUUAGGGGGCAGCCGUUAUCCGGAUUCACGGGGUGUAAGGGGAAGGUAGGUGGCGGUGCAAGCCGGAAGUGAAAGCCCAAAGCUCAACCAUGGGAAUGCUUUUGAACCUGCGCAGCUAGAGUGCGGGAGGGGCAAGUGGAAUUCUUGGUGUAGCGGUGAAAUGCGGAGAUAUUAGGAGGAACACCGGUGGCGAAGGCGGCUUGCUGGACUGUAACUGACGCUGAGGCUCGAAAGCGUGGGGAGCGAACAGGAUUAGAUACCCCUGUAGUC